rnacentral:rRNA from 1 species
UGGUCUUGAGUAUGGUCAAGGCAGGCGGAAUGUGUAAUGUAGCGGUGAAAUGCUUAGAUAUUACACAGAACACCGAUUGCGAAGGCAGCUUGCUGGGCCAAUACUGACGCUGAUGCACGAAAGCGUGGGGAUCGAACAGGAUUAGAUACCCCGGUAGUCCACGCCGUAAACGAUGAUCACUCGCUGUUAGCGAUAUACAGUUAGCGGCUAAGCAAAAGCAUUAAGUGAUCCACCUGGGGAGUACGGCCGCAAGGCUGAAACUCAAAGGAAUUGACGGGGGCCCGCACAAGCGGAGGAACAUGUGGUUUAAUUCGAUGAUACGCGAGGAACCUUACCUGGGCUUAAAUGUAGAGUGCAUGAGGUAGAAAUACUUCUUUUCUUAGGAACUCUCUGCAAGGUGCUGCAUGGUUGUCGUCAGCUCGUGCCGUGAGGUGUCGGGUUAAGUCCCAUAACGAGCGCAACCCUUAUCGUUAGUUGCCAGCGGGUAAUGCCGGGGACUCUAGCGAAACUGCCGGUGUAAACCGAGAGGAAGGUGGGGAUGACGUCAAAUCAGCACGGCCCUUAUGUCCAGGGCUACACACGUGUUACAAUGGCCGGUACAGAGGGCAGCUACCUGGAGACAGGAUGCGAAUCUCGAAAGCCGGUCUCAGUUCGGAUCGGAAGUCUGCAACUCGACUCCGUGAAGCUGGAUUUCGCUAGUAAUCGCGCAUCAGCCAUGGCGCGGUGAAUACGUUCCCGGGCCUUGUACACACCGCCCGUC